UACGAAGGGGGCUAGCGUUGUUCGGAAUCACUGGGCGUAAAGCGCACGUAGGCGGAUCUUUAAGUCAGGGGUGAAAUCCUGGAGCUCAACUCCAGAACUGCCUUUGAUACUGAGAAGCUUGAGUCCGGGAGAGGUGAGUGGAACUGCGAGUGUAGAGGUGAAAUUCGUAGAUAUUCGCAAGAACACCAGUGGCGAAGGCGGCUCACUGGCCCGGUACUGACGCUGAGGUGCGAAAGCGUGGGGAGCGAACAGG
rnacentral:rRNA from 1 species